AUCAACUUUCGAUGGUAGGAUAGAGGCCUACCAUGGUGGUAACGGGUAACGGGGUGUUAGGGCACGACACCGGAGGGGGAGCCUGAGAAACGGCUACCACAUCCAAGGAAGGCAGCAGGCGCGCAAAUUACCCAAUCCCGACACGGGGAGGUAGUGACAAUAAAUAACAAUACAGGGUUCUUUUGGAUCUUGUAAUUGGAAUGAGUACAAUUUAAAUCUCUUAACGAGGAACAAUUGGAGGGCAAGUCUGGUGCCAGCAGCCGCGGUAAUUCCAGCUCCAAUAGCGUAUAUUAAAGUUGUUGCAGUUAAAAAGCUCGUAGUUGAAUUUCGGGAUCAAGGAAUCGGUCAUGCCUUGGUAUGUACUGGUUUUAUUGGUUCUCACCUUCUAAAGAACCAUAAUGUCAUUCAUUUGAUGUUAUGGGGAAUUAGGACUGUUACCUUGAAAAAAUUAGAGUGUUUAAAGCAGGCUUACGCUUGAAUACAUUAGCAUGGAAUAAUGAAAUAGGACAUCAGAUUCUAUUUUGUUGGUUUCUAGGAUCGAUGUAAUGAUUAAUAGGGAUAGUUGGGGGCAUUAGUAUUCAAUUGUCAGAGGUGAAAUUCUUGGAUUUAUUGAAGACUAACUACUGCGAAAGCAUUUGCCAAGGAUGUUUUCAUUAAUCAAGAACGAAAGUUAGGGGAUCGAAGACGAUCAGAUACCGUCGUAGUCUUAACCAUAAACUAUGCCGACUAGGGAUCGGAUGAUGUUAAUUUUAUAAUGACUCAUUCGGCACCUUACGGGAAACCAAAGUGUUUGGGUUC
rnacentral:rRNA from 1 species